UUCUUCGUUUCCAUGGAGUCUGAUAUCGAGAUUCUGCCAGAUGCUGAUGCGUCUACGCAGAAGAUACGCAUGUUUGGAAUUGAUGAUCGCGAAGAUAAGAAUGGGAGAAGAAGGAUCAAAGAUGUUGAAGUUUAUGUUCCUAUUGUGUAUGGAUCGAUUGCUUUUUAUCUUGGAAAGAAAGGUACAGAGUGAGUUUUUUUCUCUCUUUUUUUCGUGUUUUCUAUUUCCAUGAGUUACGGAAAGAAAGCUACAGAGUGAGUUUUUUUUUUUAUAGUAUGUAUCAAAGAAUAAAUAUGUGUACAACCAAAAUAUUGCAUAGUCGUUGUGACCAAUAAAAGAGACCAUGAAGGAUAUCUAGAAAA